UUUACUUUUAUUAAGCUAUCUAAGUUGGUUGGUGCUUUUUUAUUAUGUUUUUAGCCCACCUCUUACUUGAUUUUUCAUUACUUUAUUCCUUAAAAGAAAAAAUAAUAGUACUCUAUUAGUGUUCUUCAUGUUCUGCUACUAUGCCAGUUUCUUUUGUAAAAUAUCGGUGCUACUUUGAAAAGCGCCAUUUGUAGUAGUAUAUUUCUUCUGUUAUUUAGCAUUUUACACUUACUUUUAGUAUUUUUUAGUAAUGAUGUCUGAAGGAAGAAAAAGUUCAUUAUAUUGGAAGUGUUCUAAAAUUGGGAUUAAGGGAGUUUUUCAGUUAUAAAUGUUCUGUUUUUGCUGUUUUAUUGUCAGAAAAGAUUUACAACGGAAGUUUUAUAAAGUUGGGCCUCAAGGUUUGGUUUACCUAUUUUUGUAAUGUGAAUUUGUAGCUUUCUUGUGUGGUUAUACUUUAGUCUUUCAUUUUAGUGAAGUUAUAAAAUGUGUUUGUGUGUGUGUCUGUCACUCUGUUGUGUUAGGCCAAAAAAUUACUUCAGUUCGAGCAUUAUAAUAUGGACUCAGUUUUGAUUCAAGUCAUUAUAUUGUAGGGCCUGUUUUGAUUGAAAAUUUUAUUAUUGAUAGAGUGCAAGUAUUAUUUUGUCACUGCAUAAAUAGAGUGUACUGACUGAUUUUUUUUAUAUGUUGAAGAAAUAUAUUAUUUCCAUGUUCUUGUGCUUCCCAAUAGGUUGCUUUAGUUCUCCUUAGUCAUUAUAGUUUUUGUUAUUGUGGGAUAAUAGCUAGUGUAUCAUAUCUCUUUUUUUUUUUUUUAAAGGUAAGAUAGAAAAUUCAGUGAGUUAGCUUUAAAGUGUCUUAUGUGUUUUAGUUUCUCAUGUGCUUGAGCAAUUGUAUGUUAUACGCUAUGCAUAUUAAUCAGUAGCUUAUCUCAUUCUUGUGAUGUCAUAGGAGGUUUUAAUCAUGAGUCGACAAGUUUAAUAAAAGUAAUGUGCUUAGUACCUUUCGUUUUGAUAAGUAAGGUGCACCUUAGUACUUUUUUAAUCCUAAUUUUCUUAAUCUGAUUUUUAUUUAAUCCAAGGUUAUGGCACCAAGUAAGCAUUGGACGCCACUUGUUGAUAAUUGACUUGAUGAAACCUACUUAAUCGAUGGUGCAAAAGUUUUUGGUUUAUGCUAUUACAAGAACAGGAAAAUUGUAUCAAAUAAGAUGUCCAUAUGUCCAAAAAAAUGAAAACGUUAUGCAGUACAACCAAUCAUUUGAAACAAGUAUGGUUUUUCAAAUUCAUUAUGUUAUUAAUUUGUACAACUAAAUUUUAAUGCUGAUGGUUUGAAUCAAAAUAGUUCCUCAAACAUAACCAGUUGCACAAACAGUACUUUAAGUUUCCAUAACCAGUGCACUUUUUGUCCUGGAUUAAUAUUUACGUGUAGAACUAACGGCGUACUCAAGUGACCUAUACAAUGUAGUUUUCCAUUUUCACUCUAAAUUCUAGUUGGAAAAGCACUUUACCGCUAAUGAGCUAGUCCCUUAAAUCAGAACCUUCAGUCGAGCAAUCUCGUUCAAUAACUCUUCGAAAGAUAAAAUGGUCUUACCUAUAUAUUUUUGGUGCGGUUCCUCGCCUAAUAUUGGGCUCUUAUAUAUCUUACCGGUACAGUUUCAUUGGGGAUGCAGCGUAAUUUUUUGAAAGAUGGACAUUUAUAUAAUAUUGCAUUUCUAGAUCAGUUUUGGUAUAUGUAAAGAUGGUGCACUUUAGGUGAGAAUGAAAUGUUUGUUUUUAAUAGCUAUUCAUUUUUGUCAAGUCUGAAAUAGUAUUAAGAUUUUGUGCAUGUUAUAGGUAUCCAAAUUACUGUUGUUUUUGUUAAUAUUCUGGUGUAGUGCUGCUGCUAUUUUGAUCUCAUGAUUUGGUGCAGUUUUGUUCCUAAAAUUGGUGGAAUUUUAUCGAUGCUUGCAUUUUUUUGGAUGACUUAGCUAGACCUCUGUAUGUGUUGCAUUUUCGAUGUAGUAUGUUGGUGCAAAGUUGUCCUAUACAACUGAUUUUUUGGCAUCUGAGGUGGUGCGAAGCUAUUUAAGAAGAGUAGGAUAGAAAGUCAAUAUGGAAUCUAUUUUAAAGAUAGGGAAAGUGUGCAGUUUAAUCCACCGUUAGUUCUAUACAAAAAAAUUAACGCAAGACUAGAAGUGCACCAGUAAUAGAAACUUAAAGGAGUACUUAUACACGGUGUUAUAUCUAAUGGAUAACAUAGAGGUCCAUUUUGAGCCUUUUCUCUUAAACUUUUCACUAAUGUGAUUUCCUUGCACCAGGUGCUAUAGCGAAAGGACGAGGCUGAGGUCUUAGAUCUAUGUGCUUUUUGGGGGUGUCUUGAAAUAAGGUGGGAUCCUUGCAUAAGAGUGCUUUUUAUUCUAGUCAAGGGUUUGAAGAGUUUUAGUUACAAGUCAAGAUGAGAGUAUUGAAGACUUCAUACAAGUAGCUAGGAAAGAAAUUAUAUUUUGCUGAGUAGUUGUGUAAACAGUUGGUUGUAUUACAAGCUAGAUGUUAGUACUUUUUUUUGUAAUUAAUUACCUAUUCUAAUAUUUGUAAAUGAAAGCAUUCAUUUUUUGUUGAUAA